rnacentral:rRNA from 1 species
AUUGAACGCUGGCGGCAGGCCUAACACAUGCAAGACGAGCGGAUGAGAAGAGCUUGCUCUUCGAUUCAGCGGCGGACGGGUGAGUAAUGCCUAGGAAUCUGCCUGGUAGUGGGGGACAACGUUUCGAAAGGAACGCUAAUACCGCAUACGUCCUACGAGAGAAAGCAGGGGACCUUCGGGCCUUGCGCUAUCAGAUGAGCCUAGGUCGGAUUAGCUAGUUGGUGAGGUAAUGGCUCACCAAGGCGACGAUCCGUAACUGGUCUGAGAGGAUGAUCAGUCACACUGGAACUGAGACACGGUCCAGACUCCUACGGGAGGCAGCAGUGGGGAAUAUUGGACAAUGGGCGAAAGCCUGAUCCAGCCAUGCCGCGUGUGUGAAGAAGGUCUUCGGAUUGUAAAGCACUUUAAGUUGGGAGGAAGGGCAGUAAGUUAAUACCUUGCUGUUUUGACGUUACCGACAGAAUAAGCACCGGCUAACUCUGUGCCAGCCGCCGCCGUAAGAC